GGUUAAGCGACUAAGCGUACACGGUGGAUGCCCUGGCAGUCAGAGGCGAUGAAGGGCGUGCUAAUCUGCGAUAAGCGCCGGUAAGGUGAUAUGAACCGUUAUAACCGGCGAUACCCGAAUGGGGAAACCCAGUGUGACUCGUCACACUAUCAUUAACUGAAUCCAUAGGUUAAUGAGGCGAACCGGGGGAACUGAAACAUCUAAGUACCCCGAGGAAAAGAAAUCAACCGAGAUUCCCCCAGUAGCGGCGAGCGAACGGGGAGGAGCCCAGAGCCUGAAUCAGCAUAUGUGUUAGUGGAAGCGUCUGGAAAGGCGCGCGAUACAGGGUGACAGCCCCGUACACAAAAGCGCAUGUGCUGUGAGCUCGAUGAGUAGGGCGGGACACGUGGUAUCCUGUCUGAAUAUGGGGGGACCAUCCUCCAAGGCUAAAUACUCCUGACUGACCGAUAGUGAACCAGUACCGUGAGGGAAAGGCGAAAAGAACCCCGGCGAGGGGAGUGAAAAAGAACCUGAAACCGUGUACGUACAAGCAGUGGGAGCACAGGUUUACC
rnacentral:rRNA from 1 species